rfam:Octopus bimaculoides Scaffold136231_contig_85, whole genome shotgun sequence.
ACUAACACGAGCCCUUCGUAACAAUGCGUUUUUCACACAAACCAACUGCUUUGUUCGUUCGGCUCGCGUUACUU